rnacentral:tRNA from 1 species
UAUCUCAUUUGUUAGAGUAUCAGACUUUUAAUCUGAAGUCGCAGGUUCAUAUCCCUC